CUCGACCCAGUCUUUCGCGCGAUCUAUGUAUUGUCGUAAUCUCGAUCUUGUGUCUGUCGGUAAAGAUGUCGUAAUCCGGGGGGAAUAAUUAAACUUCAGGAAUGUUUGUUACAGUAAAUGAGGGGAACGGUCGACAAAACAAGAUUUUGUAUCGCGCACGCAUCUCCAUGUGCUCAAUGCUCAAGAUUUUUCAAGCUUUUAAAUACGGAUGCAAGAGAUUGAAAAUAUUCGGAAAAAUUCAGGUAAGUAUGGCUCUAUUUCUUUCUUCUGAAAUACAUCAAGGCGAUGACCUUUUUAGUGUUUAAUCUAGAGGCAAACAAUGUGCUUUUAUGAGUUUAUCAGCCGUCUUAACUGCCCAAAUUAUCCCACUGAUCGAUUGGUCAAAAACAACAUUGAAUAAUGUCUUAUUACAAGG